rnacentral:lncRNA from 1 species
GAAACGUUCCGGCAGGGAGGAGGACAACGGAGGUGUCACGUGAAAUUGGGACGCCCGCCUGGCUUGCCCUUCCAAACGGUCAGAAAGCUGAAAAGGACAGAUCACACCUCUGCUAACAGGGGCUGUCCCUUCCUUCUCUCAGUGUGGCAAGCACCUCACUGGGGAAAUGGAUGUUCCAGAAAUUUACAGGGGCAGGUGAACCUUGUAAAGUGCUCACUCUUUGAAGAUCUGGGCAGUUUCCAGCCAAACUUCUGGAGAGCGGCAGGAUCAGCAGCCCCUGUCACUGGGAACCUGACAUAAUGAUAAGAGAAGCAGCUGCGAGGGAUCUUAACAGAAACAGAAUCUAGAGUUGGGGACUUCGCUGGUGGUACAGUGGAUCAGAAUCUGCCUGCCAAUGUAGGGUUUGAUCCCUGGUCUGGGAAGAUUCUACAUGCCAUGGAGCCCAUGUGCCUAGAGCCUGUGCUCCACAAUAAGAGAAGCCCAUAAACCACAAUGAAGAGUAGACCCCGUUGGCCACAACUAGAGAAAGUCUGUGCUCAGCAACGAAGACCCAGAGCAACCAAAAAUAAACAAG